ensembl:lncRNA
GCUCUGAAACUGUGCUCAAGUUCUGUUUCAUUACUUGCAGCUCUCAAGUUUUCCUUUUCACCCAGUUAGUAUUAUCAGACAGCGACCUCUUAGAUGAAGGAAGGUUCACAAUGAAGACUGGAAAGUACACAUGGUUACACAAAAACAGAAUAAAGGUGUGAUGAGGACAAGUUGAAAGCAGCAGAAGAGACUACAGGUGAAUAAGCAAAGGUCAGUAAUACAAGAAAUGAGAUUGUAUUGUUCUGAUAGCCAAAAGAGGGGUUAUGUCACUGACAUGAAGGUUGUAGAUCAGAAAAUGAAAUUCCAUUUGCGUUUCCCAAUAGGAAGGACUAAAUGAUAACGGAUAUGACUUUCUGUCCAGGAGAUGGGACUCCUAAAUGUAGGAGAUCAUCAGAGUGGACAAUGAGUUCUGGUGUUCUCUGAGGUCUCUAUCCCUGGGGCUCAUCUGCUUUGGAACUUACAACAGGAAGAGAGCCAAGUAUUUGGUCAUUAUCAGUGAUUUAUGAAACCCACAUUUUUUUUCCAGUUCAUCUCUGUUUGAUUUCUCUUCUUGCAAUGAAAUCACAGUCUUUUACCACUAACCUGCCUGUGUAAUUAUCAGGUUAUGAAAACAGACUAUAGAUGAAAGUGAAAUGGAAAAAGAGAAAUAAAUGUGCUGGUUGCAUAAGUGCUGUCAACAAAUAACUGAUAGUUUUCAUUUUUACCAGAAAAAAAAAAUAAUGCAAAAGGCUCCCCCACUGUGUGAAGAGUGUUCUUUAAAAAAGUUUGCUAAUUUUAGCAUCGCCUAUAUCAGGAAUUCUAUUAUGUUUCUAUUUACUACUUGUCAAGAAAUAUAAUACAAAGAUGAAUUUUCAUUCCAUUACUUUUUUUUGUCUCAUUACAUAUUGUUUACAAACAAAUUAUACAGUACAACCUUUUUAUAAGAAGACUUAAUCCCAAAGAAGAUAUAAAGCAUGCAUAGACUAAAUAUACAGCAGUUUUGUAUGAAGUUGCAAAUACUGACAAGUAUACUUGAAUAUCUUGAAAACAGAAGGCAAACAUAAAUAAUCUUGGUCAUGUUAUUAGUGUUUGUAGCAAUUGGACAGAUCAAAAUGAUGGGAAAAGGUGUUUCACCAGAGGUGUAAUGACAGAAGGAUCAGCACAAUAUAAAGGUGCUCUAAAGGAACAGAAGAAGAUUGCUUAUCCAUAUCAGAUUUCAGGUUUACAGGGAAAAAGCUCCAACAAGGAGGGAUUUCCAGAAAGAGAUCACUCCCCAGUGCCAGUCAGCCCUUAAAUGGGAUCUAGGAGAGUUGGAGCCAGGCUCCACCCCUUCUGGUCACACAGAUUAAUUGCCUUCACCUGUGCUCUCAGGGCUGACCUGGUCCUUUCCCCAGGUGAUCAAUCAGUGGUUCAGGCUGUGACUCAACAGUUACCAUGCAGUGUCAUUUUGCAGAGCAGAACUGUAUUUCAGAAGAAGCCUUCUCGAUACCUGGUGGACAAUUUGGAGGAAAAGAAAAAAAGGAAUAUUUAUUGUUACAAAAGAAGUUUCACUUAUUGCAAAUAUUCUCCAAGUAACAUACACUUUCUUCCGUCUAUUUUUCCAUUAAAUUAAGCAUAUUAUUCUUUCAGUUGCACCUCUACCUACCUAAACACUGUUUCAGUGAUUCAGCACCAAGAGUAGAUAAAGUGAUAUGGACUUAAACACUAAUUUGCUGCCAUCUCAGUUCAUACUGCAUUACUAGGCAUUAGAUACACAGCCAUGAGGAAGUAGGAACCUUUAGGUGGAAUUCAGCAUGACAUGAGGUUGAAAAGACUGGGAUAGAAAUGGAAGAGCCAACAAAAACUCUUAUUUUUCUGCAUUUUUCAGCUAAACUAAUAUCUUGGGACCACUAGAAAAUCAAAGGUAAUCAUUAGAUAUGAAAGCAAAACAUGAACAUCUGGAUUAAAUAUUGAUACACACAGACGACCAGGAUAAAAUUUUCAUUACUUGUAAAGGAGCCGAUAUAUUACCUUGGUGUUCAUGCUUUGUGGAGAAGAAUUGUUGUGGCAAUGUGUUCUGUAUUAUAUGGAUAACUAAUGUGAUAUGGGUCAAGGAAUUGCUCUAUGUUGUACUUAGACAAUAACAGAAGUUUUUGGACUGAAAAUCGAUGUAAGAAGGACCAGACUUUACAAUUGCAUAAAGACAGAAAUGAUUUGAGAUCUGUGCCCAUUUCUGAAUCUGUUUUCAGCCUUGAGCUGCUCUACUUCUUUCUCUUGUUUUGACAUUUUCUCUUGGGGAUUGCCAUAAAUUAGAUAUCCUGGUGUUAAUUUUAGCCAAAGGACAUGAGAAAAGAUGUAAAUUGUCAUAAAGUAGGUAAUUAUGCCUCAUGUAUUCCCUGAUUAUUCCUUUUUAAUUGAAUGGUCUAGCUGAAGGAAAGACUGUAGUAAAUGGAAUAAAAAACCAUAAUACUCUGCACAUGUAUUUACACUUUGCAUCUUUGAAGUGUUACAGAAAUUAGCUAAUCAAUAUAACAAAGUUUCAAAUGCCUUUUUUUGUUGUUGUUGUUAUGGGACAUAUUAAUGAAAGAGAGUGUCAGCACAGAAAUAUUGGAAAUAAUAGAAAAUGAUGUGAAGAUCUCAUGUAAAGUCAGCGUGGAAUAAACAUUCUCUGGGUUAUUUUUGGUUUUGUUUCAAUUUAGCUAACAAAAAUUCCCAAGCAAACAAAUACGAAUCCAGAGCACUCAUGUAUUAUAUGGAAAGGAACAUGCAGGUUUGAUGUCAGUAUUAAGAACACAGAUCAUUCACUGUUAAUUAUGUUGUUUGUUGCUGUUGUUGUUGUAUUUUUUUGUUAGUUUUGCCUUUAUUAUUUGUUAACUCUUUGUCUAUGUAUCUUUUCUACAAAUUGUCAUUUCUUACUAGGGCCUCAAACCUGGUAUGGGUCAGGAUGUUUUCUUUUCAUUUGGGACCACGAAGGUACCUUAUGUGUACCUUUACACUGCAUCCUGAUAAUUAUUGAAGGGGAAAAUUCUCUGUAGAGAAUUUGUACAGAACUAUUGUGUCAUCAAUAACAUGGGCAACAUACUGUUGCUCUCAUAUAAAAUUCCUGCUUAUGUCAAUGAGAGAUUUGGGCUUAACUGAAUUAGCAUUCAGUCGGAAACUCUUGCUUUAACUGUUUUCCUGUUCACUAAAUUCCAUACAAGUUUUGUGAUUGUUCAAUAGGCUUCACUGUAGUUUCUGUUCUUUGUCCUGCAUUUAUAUUUUGGACUUUCAAAUUUACCAUAGAAAGCUUCUAUAAAUAUGUAACAACUAUUUCGAUUUUGUCACAUUUAAACCACUUUGUGGUCACUUUGGUAUGCAGAAAGCAGAGUGGAGCAAUGACUCUAGGCUUGCUUGCAGAAUAAGAAAGUGUAUAUGAGUAAGAAAUUUAGGCUUACGUCCUUAUGUCAGUUGUACAGGCGCAUAUUUAAAUAAAGUCUAUAGUAUCAUUUGCAUUUCUGUGAUUUACCCACUUGAUCCUACACUGUUUGUGUCUUUUAAAAUUGGCCAUCAUUGAAACACAUAUCUGAUAAUGAGUUACACUG